UACGUAGGGACCAAGCGUUGUUCGGAUUUACUGGGCGUAAAGGGCGCGUAGGCGGCGCGGUAAGUCACUUGUGAAAUCUCUGAGCUUAACUCAGAACGGCCAAGUGAUACUGCAGUGCUAGAGUGUGGAAGGGGCAAUCGGAAUUCUUGGUGUAGCGGUGAAAUGCGUAGAUAUCAAGAGGAACACCUGAGGUGAAGACGGGUUGCUGGGCUGACACGUGACGCUGAGGCGCGAAAGCCAGGGAGCAAACGGG
rnacentral:rRNA from 1 species